rnacentral:rRNA from 1 species
AGUGAACGCUGGCGGUAGGCCUAACACAUGCAAGUCGAACGGCAGCACAGUAAGAGCUUGCUCUUACGGGUGGCGAGUGGCGGACGGGUGAGGAAUACAUCGGAAUCUACUUUUUCGUGGGGGAUAACGUAGGGAAACUUACGCUAAUACCGCAUACGACCUACGGGUGAAAGCAGGGGAUCUUCGGACCUUGCGCGAUUGAAUGAGCCGAUGUCGGAUUAGCUAGUUGGCGGGGUAAAGGCCCACCAAGGCGACGAUCCGUAGCUGGUCUGAGAGGAUGAUCAGCCACACUGGAACUGAGACACGGUCCAGACUCCUACGGGAGGCAGCAGUGGGGAAUAUUGGGCAAUGGGCGCAAGCCUGAUGCAGCAAUGCCGCGUGGGUGAAGAAGGCCUUCGGGUUGUAAAGCCCUUUUGUUGGGAAAGAAAAGCAGCAGGUUAAUACCCCGCUGUUCUGACGGUACCCAAAGAAUAAGCACCGGCUAACUUCGUG